rnacentral:rRNA from 1 species
AUUGAACGCUGGCGGCAGGCCUAACACAUGCAAGUCGAACGAGUGGCGGACGGGUGAGUAAUGUAUGGGCAACUGCCUGAUGGCGGGGGAUAACUACUGGAAACGGUAGCUAAUACCGCAUACCAUCAGAUGUGCCCAUAUGGGAUUAGCUAGUAGGUGGGGUAAAGGCUCACCUAGGCGACGAUCCCUAGCUGGUCUGAGAGGAUGACCAGUCACACUGGAACUGAGACACGGGCCAGACUCCUACGGGAGGCAGCAGUGGGGAAUAUUGCACAAUGGGCGCAAGCCUGAUGCAGCCAUGCCGCGUGUAUGAAGAAGGCCUUCGGGUUGUAAAGUACUUUCAGCGGGGAGGCGUUACCCGCAGAAGAAGCACCGGCUAACUCCGUGCCAGCAGCCGCGGUAAUUC